UGCUAGUUGUACGAGUUCAGACUCGUAGCGAAUAGCUCAGUAACACGUGGCCAAACUACCCUUCGGAACACAAUACCCUCGGGAAACUGAGGCUAAUAGUGUAUAUCGUACCACCACUGGAAUGAGUGGUACGCCAAACGCUCCGGCGCCGAAGGAUGUGGCUGCGGCCGAUUAGGUAGACGGUGGGGUAACGGCCCACCGUGCCAAUAAUCGGUAUGGGUCAUGAGAGUGAGAACCCAGAGACGGAAUCUGAGACAAGAUUCCGGGCCCUACGGGGCGCAGCAGGCGCGAAACCUUUACACUGCACGACAGUGCGAUAGGGGGAUCCCAAGUGCACAGGCAUAGCGCCUGUGCUUUUCGGUACCCUAAGGCGGUACCAGAAUAAGGGCUGGGCAAGACCGGUGCCAGCCGCCGCGGUAAUACCGGCAGCCCAAGUGAUGGCCGAUCUUAUUGGGCCUAAAGCGUCCGUAGCUGGCCGCGCAAGUCCAUCGGGAAAUCCACCUGCUCAACAGGUGGGCGCCCGGUAGAAACUGCGUGGCUUGGGACCGGAAGGCGCGACGGGUACGUCCGGGGUAGGAGUGAAAUCCCGUAAUCCUGGACGGACCGCCGAUGGCGAAAGCACGUCGCGAGAACGGAUCCGACAGUGAGGGACGAAAGCCAGGGUCUCGAACCGGAUUAGAUACCCGGGUAGUCCUGGCCGUAAACAAUGUCUGCUAGGUGUGGCUCCCACUACGAGUGGGUGCUGUGCCGUAGGGAAGCCGCUAAGCAGACCGCCUGGGAAGUACGUCCGCAAGGAUGAAACUUAAAGGAAUUGGCGGGGGAGCACUACAACCGGAGGAGCCUGCGGUUUAAUUGGACUCAACGCCGGACAUCUCACCAGCAUCGACUGUAGUAAUGACGAUCAGGUUGAUGACCUUAUCCGAGUUUCAGAGAGGAGGUGCAUGGCCGCCGUCAGCUCGUACCGUGAGGCGUCCUGUUAAGUCAGGCAACGAGCGAGACCCGCACCCUUACUUGCCAGCAGUACCGCGAGGUAGCUGGGGACAGUAGGGGGACCGCCGUGGCUAACACGGAGGAAGGAACGGGCAACGGUAGGUCAGUAUGCCCCGAAUGUGCUGGGCAACACGCGGGCUACAAUGGUCGAGACAAAGGGUUCCUACUCCGAAAGGAGACGGUAAUCUCAGAAACUCGAUCGUAGUUCGGAUUGUGGGCUGCAACUCGCCCACAUGAAGCUGGAUUCGGUAGUAAUCGCGUGUCACAAGCGCGCGGUGAAUACGUCCCUGCUCCUUGCACACACCGCCCGUCAAAGCACCCGAGUGAGGUCCGGAUGAGGCGUACCACGUACGUCGAAUCUGGGCUUCGCAAGGGGGC
rnacentral:rRNA from 1 species